GACGAACGCUGGCGGCGUGCCUAAUACAUGCAAGUAGAACGCUGAAGAGAGGAGCUUGCUCUUCUUGGAUGAGUUGCGAACGGGUGAGUAACGCGUAGGUGACCUGCCUUGUAGCGGGGGAUAACUAUUGGAAACGAUAGCUAAUACCGCAUAACAAUGGAUGACCCAUGUCAUUUAUUUGAAAGGGGCAAAUGCUCCACUACAAGAUGGACCUGCGUUGUAUUAGCUAGUAGGUGAGGUAACGGCUCACCUAGGCGACGAUACAUAGCCGACCUGAGAGGGUGAUCGGCCACACUGGGACUGAGACACGGCCCAGACUCCUACGGGAGGCAGCAGUAGGGAAUCUUCGGCAAUGGGGGCAACCCUGACCGAGCAACGCCGCGUGAGUGAAGAAGGUUUUCGGAUCGUAAAGCUCUGUUGUAAGUCAAGAACGAGUGUGAGAGUGGAAAGUUCACACUGUGACGGUAGCUUACCAGAAAGGGACGGCUAACUACGUG
rnacentral:rRNA from 1 species